rnacentral:rRNA from 1 species
AGAGUUUGAUCCUGGCUCAGAUUGAACGCUGGCGGCAGGCCUAACACAUGCAAGUCGAGCGGCAGCACGGGUACUUGUACCUGGUGGCGAGCGGCGGACGGGUGAGUAAUGCCUAGGAAUCUGCCUGGUAGUGGGGGAUAACGCUCGGAAACGGACGCUAAUACCGCAUACGUCCUACGGGAGAAAGCAGGGGACCUUCGGGCCUUGCGCUAUCAGAUGAGCCUAGGUCGGAUUAGCUAGUGGUGAGGUAAUGGCUCACCAAGGCGACGAUCCGUAACUGGUCUGAGAGGAUGAUCAGUCACACUGGAACUGAGACACGGUCCAGACUCCUACGGGAGGCAGCAGUGGGGAAUAUUGGACAAUGGGCGAAAGCCUGAUCCAGCCAUGCCGCGUGUGUGAAGAAGGUCUUCGGAUUGUAAAGCACUUUAAGUUGGGAGGAAGGGCAGUUACCUAAUACGUNA